rnacentral:rRNA from 1 species
GUUAGGAAUAUUGGACAAUGGGCGCAAGCCUGAUCCAGCCAUGCCGCGUGAGUGAUGAAGGCCUUCGGGUUGUAAAGCUCUUUAGCCGAUGAUUAUAAUGACUGUAGUCGGAAAAUAAGCCCCGGCUAACUUCGUGCCAGCAGCCGCGGUAAUACGAAGGGGGCGAGCGUUAUUCGGAAUCACUGGGCGUAAAGCGUGCGUAGGCGGCUUUGCAAGUUGGGAGUAAAAGCCCAGGGCUCAACCCUGGAAUUGCUCUCAAAACUGCAAGGCUCGAAUUCGGGAGAGGAUAGCGGAAUUGUCAGUGUAGCAGUGAAAUGCGUAGAUAUUGACAGGAACACCAGUGGCGUAAGCGGCUAUCUGGACCGAUAUUGACGCUGAGGCACGAAAGCGUGGGGAUCAAACAGGAUUAGAUACCCCGGUAGUCC